rnacentral:rRNA from 1 species
UACGAAGGGGGCUAGCGUUGCUCGGAAUCACUGGGCGUAAAGGGUGCGUAGGCGGGUCUUUAAGUCAGGGGUGAAAUCCUGGAGCUCAACUCCAGAACUGCCUUUGAUACUGAAGAUCUUGAGUUCGGGAGAGGUGAGUGGAACUGCGAGUGUAGAGGUGAAAUUCGUAGAUAUUCGCAAGAACACCGGUGGCGAAGGCGGCAUCCUGGACCAACACUGACGCUGAGUGAGCGAAAGCCAGGGGAGCAAACGGG